AAGUAUCGUAAUUUAUCCUUCUUACGUCCGUUUUGUCGCAAUGGGUCAGUUUCAGUAAAAUUGCACAUUUACUGUUCCUUACAAGAAGUCUACUUUACUUGAUUUGAUGACAUAAAGUAAAAUAUUUGUAUGCAACAAAAUGAAAUUCUACACAUAAACAACGUUCGCUGGGAAUGCAAAGAAAUAAAAUCCGGUAUUGUUCAACAUUUCAUUUGUUUGCUCAAGACCCUCCCGUAUGGAAUGGCGAAAACGCAUUUCAGCUCAGUGGUUUGUUACUGUUUGCACCGAUGUGCCUUUAAAAUAUAUUGAAUAUCGGCAACAUAAACGAGAUGACUGCAAGAUUGAACAUGAAUAGUUUACAGACUUGACAAAUCAGCUGCUCAAACUUCCAAAGGAUCAAAUAGACGUACGAGGGUUUAGUUUUAGAACACAAAAAUUGCCCAAAAAAGAAGCAGGAAAAACAGAUAAUCAACCACUCCCUCAAUUUGUUCAAUAUUUUCUGCAGAAAACAAUGAAGUAAAGUGCAAACUGUUAACGAGCCAAUUGAAUUUAAAAGACGAAUUUAAAGGUAGCUGAGCGCGAUCACGCCGUAGGAUAUAACCUAGCACAAAGGCCAAUAACCUCAGUAGAAACUCGCCAAAUAACCACCCAAAGAACCAAUAGUUGAAUAAACCCGUGACUGAAACUGAGCCAAAAGGGCCGAAUAGGAAUUUACCUGAUUUUCCUGCUGCGAUGCCUGCGGACUUUCCCUGGGCAGGACAGCAAUCCAUUGCUCGUUCCUUCUGAACACUGCACUGCACAAAAAUGGCAACAUAAUCAACAACAGGUCGCAGCAUGAAUGGCGAUGUCUGGAAAAACGGGAAAUGGAAUUUGGGAAAUGUCAACAUCCGAAAAAUAAAGAUAACAUUUGACCGGUUUAGCCGAUUUUUUGUUUAUAUGACACGUUUUUUCGCUAUCGGCCGAACAACCGGGAACGCUAGGGGGCGGC